AAUGUCCUGGCAAACAGCGAGCUACCGUAUAGGCUACCGUAUAGGCUACCGUAUAGGCUACCGUAUAGGCUUCAGUAUAGGCUACAGUAUAGGCUACAGUAUAGGCUACCGUAUAGGCUACCGUAUAGGCUACAGUAUAGGCUACAGUAUAGGCUACCGUAUAGGCUACCGUAUAGGCUACAGUAUAGGCUACCGUAUAGGCUUCAGUAUAGGCUACAGUAUAGGCUACCGUAUAGGCUACAGUAUAGGCUACAGUAUAGGCUACCGUAUAGGCUACAGUAUAGGCUACCGUAUAGGCUACAGUAUAGGCUACAGUAUAGGCUACAGUAUAGGCUACCGUAUAGGCUACAGUAUAGGCUACAGUAUAGGCUACCGUAUAGGGUUCAGUAUAGGCUUCAGUAUAGGCUUCAGUAUAGGCUACAGUAUAGGCUACCGUAUAGGCUACAGUAUAUGCUACCGUAUAGGCUACAGUAUAGGCUACAGUAUAGGCUUCAGUAUAGGCUACAGUAUAGGCUACCGUAUAGGCUACAGUAUAGGCUACAGUAUAGGCUUCAGUAUAGGCUUCAGUAUAAACACAACAGAUACCAACAACAGAUCAACAGUAUUUCUUACUCAAUUUCAAAACAUCAGCUCUCACUCUCCGGUCACAAACUCACCCAGUCAGAUAGCGAGUACUGGGUAAUUGAGAGCCGAAGCGGGGCUUGAACCAGCGAGUCAGUGCUGGUAAAAACGUCCCCUAGUCAUAGCCUGGAGGGUGAAUGAAUGUAAAGCACUUUACCUUGACUGCAUAUUAUGAGUUACUGUCGCGUCCCCUGUCACCCCCACGCCGGCGCUCAUCCUCCAGCCACAGCCACGGACACAGGUAACAUCCACAUUACAUUAAGUAAAAACAACCGACACACAUAUCCCCAACCAAGUCCAACAGUCAAAAAGGAAAUGUUAAAAAAUUAAAGAACGUUCAUUUGGAUAUAUUUCGUCCAUGGAGUUCGGUUACUUGUGACUAAAAGAGAGAGUCAAUAACUCAUUGUAAAGGUUUGUUUGUGAUCAAGGUCCGUUAAAUGUUUGUUUUUUUAUCUUGUCCCAGGAGCGAGACGCACGGAGUUGUACGCGUCGGACGGUUUCCGG
ensembl:lncRNA